AGAGUUUGAUCCUGGCUCAGGAUGAACGCCAGCGGCAGGCUUCAUACAUGCAAGUCGAGGGGCAGCAUAAAUUACUUGUAAUUUGAUGGCGACCGGCGAACGGGUGCGUAACGCGUAUGCAACUUACCUUUUACUAGAGAAUAGCCAAGAGAAAUUUUGAUUAAUGCUCUAUGUUCUUAUUUACUCGCAUGAGUAAAUAAGCAAAGCUCCGGCGGUAAAAGAUGGGCAUGCGUCCUAUUAGCUUGUAGGUGAGGUAAUGGCUCACCUAAGCUCCGAUAGGUAGGGGUCCUGAGAGGGAGAUCCCCCACACUGGUACUGAGACACGGACCAGACUUCUACGGAAGGCAGCAGUAAGGAAUAUUGGACAAUGGAGGCAACUCUGAUCCAGCCAUGCCGCGUGAAGGAAGACGGCCUUAUGGGUUGUAAACUUCUUUUAUACAGGAAGAAACCUUUCCACGUGUGGAAAGCUGACGGUACUGUAAGAAUAAGGAUCGGCUAACUCCGUGCCAGCAGCCGCGGUAAUACGGAGGAUCCAAGCGUUAUCCGGAAUUAUUGGGUUUAAAGGGUCCGCAGGCUGUUUGUUAAGUCAGAGGUGAAAUCCUACCGCUCAACGGUAGAACUGCCUUUGAUACUGGCAAACUUGAGUUAUUGUGAAGUAGUUAGAAUGUGUAGUGUAGCGGUGAAAUGCAUAGAUAUUACACAGAAUACCGAUUGCGAAAGCAGAUUACUAACAAUAUACUGACGCUGAGGGACGAAAGCGUGGGUAGCGAACAGGAUUAGAUACCCUGGUAGUCCACGCCGUAAACGAUGGUCACUAGCUGUUCGACGUACAUUGGUACGUUGAGUGGCUAAGCGAAAGUGAUAAGUGACCCACCUGGGGAGUGCGCUCGCAAGAGUGAAACUCAAAGGAAUUGACGA
rnacentral:rRNA from 1 species